GCCUGGAUAGCUCAGUGGUAGAGCAGAGGACUGAAAAUCCUCGUGUCGUCAGUUCAAUUCUGACUCUAGGCACAA
rnacentral:tRNA from 1 species